rnacentral:misc_RNA from 1 species
AAGUCGUAACAAGGUUUCCGUAGGUGAACCUGCGGAAGGAUCAUUAACACGUAUCCAACGCUAAAACCCCCCGUGAACCUUUAUUGUGGCACGCCUAUACGUUAGAAAGUGACAAUCCCUGGUAAAUCAUCGCCGAACAGUUUUGAUUCAGGGACUUCUGCGUGUAGGACAACUGCGCGAGCAAGUGGCCUGGCAUCCCUCUGCUUGUUAGUGUCUGAAAGUGUCACUAGCUCUGUACGGGUGGCGCAAUCACGAUGCUAGAGGCCAACACGGCCGGCAUGAAACGGGCCUGCGCUUAAUUGUACGGCCACCAAACUCGAACAACUGUUAACAAUGGAUAUCUUGGUUCUC